AACGAACGCUGGCGGCAUGCCUAACACAUGCAAGUCGAACGAGACCUUCGGGUCUAUUCUCGCACGAGUUCGUAACGCGUGGGAACCGUCCCUUAUGGUCGAAAUAACUCCCCGACAGGGAUACUAAUACCGAAUAAUGGCUUCUGACCGAAGAUCUAUCGCCUUGGGAUGUUCCCGCGUUGGAUUCGCUUGUUGUUAGGGUAAAAGCAUCAGAAGGCGACGAUCCAUAGAUGGUUUGAGAGGAUGAUCAGCCACACUGGGACUGAGACACGGCCCAGACUCUUCCGGGAGGGAGGAGUGGGUAAUAGUGCACCAUGGCGGAAAGCAUGAUCGAGCACUGAUGGGUGAGCGAUGAAGGUAUUAGGGUUGUAAAGCGUAUGUAACCGGGAUGAUAAUGACGGUACCGGGAGAAUAAGCCACGGCUAACUACGUG
rnacentral:rRNA from 1 species